rnacentral:rRNA from 1 species
AUUGAACGCUGGCGGCAUGCCUUACACAUGCAAGUCGAACGGUAACAGCACUUCGGUGGCUGACGAGUGGCGAACGGGUGAGUAAUACAUCGGAACGUGCCCGAGAGUGGGGGAUAACGCAGCGAAAGCUGUGCUAAUACCGCAUACGAUCUACGGAUGAAAGCAGGGGACCGCAAGGCCUUGCGCUCAUGGAGCGGCCGAUGGCAGAUUAGGUAGUUGGUGGGAUAAAAGCUUACCAAGCCGACGAUCUGUAGCUGGUCUGAGAGGACGACCAGCCACACUGGGACUGAGACACGGCCCAGACUCCUACGGGAGGCAGCAGUGGGGAAUUUUGGACAAUGGGGGAAACCCUGAUCCAGCCAUGCCGCGUGCAGGAUGAAGGCCUCGGUU